CGCAGUGACCAGAGUGCAAUUUCACUUCCUAUCAUCUUUUGAUUUAAUGCAUGCUAUGGGCCCUUUAUCAUGAUUAAUGCAUGCCACGUUACUAUUUGGUUUGACCCAACAUUAAGACGUCCCUGACGCAUUAAUUAAACUUGGCAGUAUUGCCGGCUUUCGAGCCUAUUAACUUUACACCCUGUGGCGCUUUAACCUUAUUAACCGAGUCACGUUGGGUCGACCAGUCAUUUAUUAAUUUACUAACCUUGGCACUCAAUUGCACUUUCAAAACACCUACCUCUAAACGGCUUUCAAGCCACUUCUAAAUUUACCCCAGCGGUAAUAAAUUAGAAGGUUAGUCUCGAAAUAUUUAAACUUAAUUUCGCAUAAAUUGCUCAAUAUAUCUUGAUCCUCAUAAUGAUAAAUUGCAUACGAUAUAAUAGCACUUGCUGAUAAAUCUAAUCUUGGUUUGUAACUGUCAAUUUACAGUAUAACCUCCUCCUCCGGUGUAUUCUCGUACGUCGCAUCUCUUUGCCGUGUGCUUCACGCAUCCAGUGCAGCCAGCGCGACAUUAUUUGUGCUGUACGCGUUAUUUCAUUUGAGUUUCCUCAACUGCAUCCACUGCAGUUCCGGUUUUCUACUUCUCUGGAUCCGAAGCUUAUCCUUUGGAGUCUCAAUAAAAUUGUUAGCAGU